UACGUAGGUGGCAAGCGAUACUCGGAAUCACUAGGCGUAAAGCGCAGGUAGGCGGUUUGGUAAGUCUUUUGUGAAAGCUCCCGGCUUAACUGGGAGAGGUCAAGGGAAACUACCGGACUAGAGUGUGGUAGGGGAUACUGGAAUUCCUGGUGUAGCGGUGAAAUGCGUAGAUAUCAGGAGGAAUACCUAUGGCGAAAGCAGGUAUCUGGGCCAUCACUGACGCUGAGCUGCGAAAGCUAGGGGAGCAAGCAGG
rnacentral:rRNA from 1 species